rnacentral:miRNA from 1 species
GGAUGGAUCUAAAUGAUGCAAAA